AUGCUUGCUUCAGUAGCACAUACACUAAAAUUGGAAUGAUACAGAGAAAAUUAGCAUGGCCCCUGUGCAAGGAUGACAUGCAAAUUCAUGAAGCGUUCCAUAUUUUC
rnacentral:snRNA from 1 species